CCUACGGGAGGCAGCAGUGGGGAAUAUUGCACAAUGGGCGCAAGCCUGAUGCAGCCAUGCCGCGUGUAUGAAGAAGGCCUUCGGGUUGUAAAGUACUUUCAGCGAGGAGGAAGGUGUUGUGGUUAAUAACCGCAGCAAUUGACGUUACUCGCAGAAGAAGCACCGGCUAACUCCGUGCCAGCAGCCGCGGUAAU
rnacentral:rRNA from 1 species